UACGUAGGUGGCAAGCGUUGUCCGGAUUUAUUGGGCGUAAAGCGCGCGCAGGUGGUUUCUUAAGUCUGAUGUGAAAGCCCACGGCUCAACCGUGGAGGGUCAUUGGAAACUGGGAGACUUGAGUGCAGAAGAGGAAAGUGGAAUUCCAAGUGUAGCAGUGAAAUGCGUAGAGAUUUGGAGGAACACCAGUGGCGAAGGCGACUUUCUGGUCUGUAACUGACACUGAGGCGCGAAAGCCAGGGGAGCAAACGGG
rnacentral:rRNA from 1 species